AGCGAACGCUGGCGGCAGGCUUAACACAUGCAAGUCGAGCGGGCACUUUCGGGUGUCAGCUGCGGACGGGUGAGUAACGCGUGGGAACGUGCCCGCUGGUUCGGAAUAACUCAGGGAAACUUGAGCUAAUACCGGAUACGCCCUUUUGGGGAAAGGCUUGCUGCCGGAGGAUCGGCCCGCGUCUGAUUAGCUAGUUGGUGCGGUAACGGCUCACCAAGGCGACGAUCAGUAGCUGGUCUGAGAGGAUGAUCAGCCACACUGGGACUGAGACACGGCCCAGACUCCUACGGGAGGCAGCAGUGGGGAAUAUUGGACAAUGGGCGCAAGCCUGAUCCAGCCAUGCCGCGUGAGUGAUGAAGGCCUUAGGGUUGUAAAGCUCUUUUAUCCGGGACGAUAAUGACGGUACCGGAGGAAUAAGCCCCGGCUAACUUCGUG
rnacentral:rRNA from 1 species